rnacentral:rRNA from 1 species
GAUGAACGCUAGCUACAGGCUUAACACAUGCAAGUCGAGGGGCAGCAUGGUCUUAGCUUGCUAAGGCCGAUGGCGACCGGCGCACGGGUGAGUAACACGUAUCCAACCUGCCGUCUACUCUUGGACAGCCUUCUGAAAGGAAGAUUAAUACAAGAUGGCAUCAUGAGUCCGCAUGUUCACAUGAUUAAAGGUAUUCCGGUAGACGAUGGGGAUGCGUUCCAUUAGAUAGUAGGCGGGUAACGGCCCACCUAGUCUUCGAUGGAUAGGGGUUCUGAGAGGAAGGUCCCCCACAUUGGAACUGAGACACGGUCCAAACUCCUACGGGAGGCAGCAGUGAGGAAUAUUGGUCAAUGGACGCGAGUCUGAACCAGCCAAGUAGCGUGAAGGACUAAGGCCCCUAACGGGUCGUAAAACUUCUUUUAUAAGGGAAUAAAGUGGGAGUCGUGACUCUUUUUGCAUGUACCUUAUGAAUAAGGACCGGCUAAUUCCGUGCCAGCAGCCG